GACAGUGAGGCGAUGCCAUAGAGCCAUCUGCUGAAAAAGAAGAGUUUUCCUCCCUCCUUUAAUAUUGUGAUAGCUACUGAAUCAAGUGGGUUUUGGGAUUUUUCGGUGUAUUUAUCAGAAAAUCACAAAACCAUGCAUAUGUGUUGAUGUACACACACAUUUGUAAUCCUGAUUUCAUACCAAAUUUUCUGGCAAGGAAUGGAGAAGGAAAAUUAUGGAUGAUGGGAAAUAGCUAUCUACAGUUAGCAAUCCGGCAGGAGGGGGGCAGGGGUGGUGCCCCAAUUGCAUGGCAGUGCAAAAUUCAGUGAAACAGAAAAUGUGUAAGAAUGCAUUAUUCCAUUCCAGAAAGUUCAGAGGUCAAAUGAAACAAGCAGCACACCUUUUUACUGUUGCAAACUGUGCUUUAUGGUGACUUCAUGCACUCAAGACAAUGGUUCCAUGUCCUGUGUGAAAGAUACAGAUUGUCUCUUGGGUGUAUCAGGCUCGAGCAUUAAAACUGGCUCAGAAACAUUUCCAAAGGAAAAUAUGACACCACUUUUGGCAUCUUCCCAGAAAGAAAGAAAAAAACCCCUGAAAUGAACUGCAUUGCAUGUGUCUGUCACUUACACCAACAUUGUCAAACUGAAAACUUUAGAAUAUUGUAAAGUAUAUUUGUCUGGUUCUUUAUAUUGUGUGGUAGCUUACUUUAACCCAAACCAUUCUCCAAAAACAAAUAAUACUUUGUAGAAUAUCAGGUGUAAUGGAUAGCUUUAGCAAGCCCUUCUGGCUUCUUAUAUUCACUUGAGAAUUUAAGCAGUUUGUUCCAUUUAUUAACACUACACGAAAUAUUCAUUUUUUUUGUAUUGGCGCAAGUAUUUUGACUUUGUGCCCCUUUGGAAAAUUUUCUGAUGCCCUAGAGAUUUAAUUUAGCCUGUUUGCUUGUAUUUGAUAAACAAAGGUACAAACUUUGAAAGUGACCCACUUGUGUAGUACUGUGUUUGCAGUUGACAUUUUACCCAUAAAAUGGAAAAUAAAUUCCUCCAGAGAACAAAGCAAAGGAACAGUUUCCAUUUUUGAUUUUUUUUUGCACCUGGCAUCACUGGCUAUUGUAGUAUGCAGGUUUGUUUGUUUAGUUUUUCUGGGGUGGACAUAGAUAUCAGGUGCCUAGAAAACUUACAUUUCUCAAUCUUUCCUGGAAUGGUGCUAAAAUUCUCUGAUGUCCUAGAGCAGAGCUUUCCAAACUGUAUAUAACAACAUAUUAGUGUGUGCAGUAUGUAGGUUUGUCAUGCAAACUCUCCCCACAUUCAUCCCAGGGCUGAAAAUGGGUUAGUUUAACCUCUGGUUUGCUAGUAAAACUGAAUUACUGUGUCACGAAAUGAUGUACGUCUAAAAAGUGUGUCACCAACAUGAAAAGUCGGGAAAGCUCUGCCCUAGAGCAAGGGUGGAGAAUCGGAUCUGAGUAACCAGCCAGAUCUUUUAUCUCCCCUACUCGCCAUGGGCCAGAUUGAUAGAUGGGCAGAACUGCCCGUCUGUCAAUCUCCCAACAUCACAAUGACAUUUGGUGAUGAUCGCCAGGGACUUCAAAGCACAAAGCAGGGCUUGCACAGUGCUUUGAAGUGUUGCUUCAAGUCACUGCCCUGGGGGAUUUAGUCACACAGCCAAUGAUUUGAAGUCACUGCCAGGGUGGAUUUGAUUUAAAUCACGAUUUAAAUCACUGGUCAGUAAGGCUUGAUUUAAAUCCUUUUUUUUACAGAAAGACUCAUUCUUGCUGGUAUAAGCUUAAUAUUUACAACCAGAUGAAGGUUUCGUUUUUGGAAUAAUAAAUUUUCAGGGUAGUUUUUACAGUUAUCUCAAAGAUUACUGAUUUGGUUAUACUAUUAGAAAUACAUAGGUAAUUAUGAAAUUAUUGCAAGGUUUAAUAAGUUAAUUGUUUAUAUUUGGACAACUUUUCUGCUGUACUUUAUAGGUAGGAGGAAAAUAAUCAUUUCCUUAAUAACAAUUUAUUUCACUAAAACAAUAACAUUAUAGCAUAUGUACCCAUGUUUGUUAACUGAUGUGGUUAAAUGGUUAAAAAAAAAAAACUUAGACUGAGUUUUAGCAAACAUUAAAAACUUACAACAAAUCCCUAUUUCCUGAUGGACUAUAAUGUAAUUUAAAUAGAAAACUAUCUUUAGAAAGAUUAUUCCUCCAAAAGCGUUUUAUUUUAAAAAUCCAAUUUAAAUUUUAAAAAUCUGACUUUUUAAAAUUUUAAAAUAAAAAUAAAUCAUUGAUUUUUAUCCACCCUGGUCACUACCCAUCCCUAAGACCCAAACAGUGUUCUCUGCCAUAGUAGCAUUUGAGGUACUGAGAAGGCAAUGGUCUCUGUCCCUGUCAUUUCAGUGGACAAUGCUGAGAGAAAGAGAGAGCGGUGCCUCAGCGGUGCCGCGCAACAGCCACAAAGUAAAUGGAUUUGGAAUUUGGGGUGGCAAUUGCAAGAGAAUGUAGAAUUAUUGGGGAUCUCCCUCCUGCGAGUAUUUUCCACUUUUCAUUUACAAUGUUGGCCUCAUUCCAAAUCAGGCAUGAAUACAUUAUCUCAUCUGUCAGGGGACUGCCAUCGGAACGCCGUUGGGAUACAGGGAGUCUCUGAUGCUUCUAAGGAGCAGUUCCUCUUCCAGCGAGGGGAAAAGCCACACCUCCAGUGGAGAAGAGAGGGAAGGGGCCAGCCAAGCAAGGAGAGGGUUCAAAGACGCUGCUGAGAGCCCAAGUGUCUCACCUAGCCUGGUUGGCCAGAAGGCACACACGCUACUUCCGUCGCCAAGCUUGCACAGAGGGGUGAAACGCAAGGAGGGGAGGCAGAGAUUUGGGGUGUCUAAGUUCUUAACGUUGGGGGAGAAGCCAGAAGGGGCCACUCCCGGGCACUGCAAGUGACUAAGACGGACAUGAACCUUGUGUAUCUGCACUGUAAAUAGUUUGCACAAUAAAACCUGUAAAAGACAGGUCGGAGUCCUGGCUGGUUACUCACGAGCAACCACCACCCAGCAUUCUGACACCAUCAUUAAUUAUACUGCAUUCAUGGAUUUGGUGGUGAGGCUGUGCCCUAAUGCCACACGGCUACCUCCUGACUUGAAUGCUUUGGGGCAGAUGGAUAAGCCAGGGGGUGGAUGAGGAGGAGUCAAAAGGGACGACAAAUGACCUAGAUGUCUUAUAGGCCAAGGAAAAGAGCUUGGUUUGGAGUAGGGUGUGUUCCAGAGGAAUGAGGAGAACAAACUGAAGAAUCUGAGAAAGGAAGGAAAUGCAGAGAAUGAGCAGAAAAUAAAAAAUUCACAAGACAUCGUACUGAAAGGUGAGGAAUGGCGAGGUUCAUAGUCUGUUUUGCUUCAGGAAUCAAAUAUUUAGGAUUUCUCUAUGAUCUGAUACUUUAUGGAUAGUGGCUGCUUGCACACAACAGCCUUUUCGUGCUGCUGUAGUGCAGCUUUUAUAUAAUUAGUUGGGAGCAGAAUUAAAAUUGAGAUUCCACAUAGCAUUUGAUACGGUUCUGUAUUAACUAGCAAUGCCCUUCCCUGUGGCAUAGAAUUGUUCUUUACCGUUCACUCACAAGUAAGGAAAGGUCACUAGCAACAUCAAAUAAAAGUUUGUUGUUUGCAGGUUUAUCCCAUUUAUUGCCUUCUAUUGAUCCCAGCUGGAUCAAUUUGUCCCUGCAAUAUUGGGUACUUUUGGAGGGUUACCCCCAAAUAUUUGAUUAAUCUUUGGGAGUGGGACAAAAUCAAAAAAUGUUUAGGUGGGAUUGGACUUACCUUUUUAAUACAGGCCGGUUGAGGGUUUCUUUUUUCUUUUUCUUUUCUUUUUUUUUAAAAAAAGGUUUGCUGAAACUUCAGGUGGUGACCUGGCUACCUUUGAAAUUUGGGACAUGCUCCCAGAUUGCACUUGCCCUCAAAGUGGGAAAUGUGAAUAGCUCCUUUGGAAAAGGCAAGCACAGUUCUCUGUGAUUAGACGGCAGAUUCAUUAAUGUGGAGGACUUUAUGGCUGGUGUUGCCACAUUUCUGCAUUGUGGAGUUUGUGGGAUAGACAGACAGCCAAAGACCAGCAGCUUAGCACAUCAGCCAGAUAGCACAUUCAGUGCCAUUUCUACUUUUGAGAUACCAUGUGUUCACUUCUGUAUGAAGAACUAAAGGAACUGGCAUCAAACUCUUGUGUUGGCCCUGUGGGUUUAGAGUAGAUCACAGAAGAAUGAUCUAACAUUUCCCCAGCUUUUUAAGAGGAAUGGUUCUCAUCCCCCCAUAAAUUGUAUAUUCUUCAUUUAUUAGAAGAUUUAUAUACCACUGUUCACUCUAUCGGUGCCAUCAAAGUGCAUAAUAAAACCACAACUGAAUCUAUUCUGUAGAAUCAACAUAGUCACGGAAACAAAACACCAGGAAGUAGCGCCUCUUUAACUUACUGCACGAAAGCAAGUUCCUACAUAAUGUUUGAACCAGCUGUUAGCAAUAGUUAGAAAUUUUUCCUUAGUCUGCAAUCCUAACCACACUUGCCUGAGAGUGACUCCCAUUGAAUUCAAUGGAACUUGCUUCUGAAUAGACAGGAAUAGGAUUACUGCAUUUAAAAUUGAUCAUGUGUCCCCCUGUUCUAAUCUAUUUAUUAUAUUCCUUUACCAUAAGGUCCUGGGGGGGGGGGGUUCAACAAUAAAAAUAGUAAGUUUGAAAACAAUUUUAAACACUUGCAAGCUCUCUCUCUCUCUCUCUCUCUCUCUCUCUGUCCCCAGAUAUAAAAACAGUUAAAUAUAGACUGCAUCUCUAUUGGAGCUCUCUCAUAACCAUAGUGGGCUUGAGGUGCCUUUAUCAGUUUCCUUUGAAAAAAUGCAAGCCAAGGUUAAGCUGUCAAAGUAUAUUUCCUAAUUCUAAAUAGCUCUCUCUGUGUGUAAUGCCACACAACAGCAGUUAUAUCCCUUUUGCUACUCUGUAUAUUUGGAUGAUUGCGUACUUCAUACUUUGAACAGCUCUAAAAUUUCCUUUUCUGAGCGGGAUCCAAGAUCCUUAACAAAUCUUCACCUUUCCCCAAGUCACACCUCGGGCUUGUGGUUAUACAAAUGCAACCUCUUGACUUUAAAGAAAAAUAAAACGAAAAAUAAGCUCAAGCGC
rnacentral:lncRNA from 1 species